rnacentral:tRNA from 1 species
GGAUCAUUAGCUCAGUCGGUCAGAGCAGUCGCCUCAUAAGCGAAAGGUCGUUCGUUCGAGUCGAACAUGAUCCA